UACGUAGGGUGCGGAGCGUUGUCCGGAAUUAUUGGGCGUAAAAGAGCUUGUAGGCGGUUUGUCGCGUCUGCUGUGAAAUCUCAAGGCUCAACCUUGAGCUUGCAGUGGGUACGGGCAGACUAGAGUGUGGUAGGGGAGACUGGAAUUCCGUGGUGUAGCGGUGAAAUGCGCAGAUAUCGGGAGGAACACCGGUGGCGAAGGCGGUUCUCUGGGCCUGUACUGACGCUGAGGAGCGAAAGCGUGGGGAGCGAACAGG
rnacentral:rRNA from 1 species